AAGCAAAGGAGGAAAAGAAAGAGAAAUGGGUCAAUAAAUGAAUAGCUAACCCCCUGCAAGCCAGGAGGUGCUGUGAGCUGGCAACAGAUCUGAGCCAAGCCCCAGGCCAGGAGAGUCCUGACGCGACCUUUCUGAGAGGCGCAAGCUGGAAAGACACGAGACAAAUGCAUGAGUUCAGAUGCACACUCCAGCUUCAGAGAAGUCCACUUCUGAACUUCGCAAGUCAUUGCUGGGAACUAGGAUCGAACUUAUUGGUGACUUAAGUAGGUUAAAUCCUCCAACUUCAGUGAGGCUGCACUUGCCUCUCCCAGCAGUAGUUCUGACCUAUAAAAUGAAGGAGGCUCCUUCAUACCAAAAACAACUGAAAGGAGAACAUUUGAUGAACUAUAUUUUUGCAAAUGUGGAAGCUGAGAGAGCAGACACACAGACCUAUAAGUUGCUUCUGAUAGCUGAGAAUAAACACUAGAAAUUAAUUUCAUGCAGGUUAGCGCUGGCUGAGUGGUGAGCGGGAUUGAUUACAAACCUUGCAAGCUUUCAAAGGGAAGAAAAAUAUGAGUUGCCCACCACCAGAGCUUACAUACAAGCAGCAAAGGAUCUCCCACACAGAACAGUAUCCAGCACCAGGCAGAAGACUGGCUAUGUGAUGUGUGAUGGUGCUACAUGUAACCACAUAUGUCAAAGGAAGCUUUGGACCGACAGAGCCCUGAAUCACAGGCGCUUUGAGAGCAGAGACUUUCCUGUGUCCUAAGGAGGAAAUAUCCCUCAGGAUCAUGAAGUGAUAGGCUGCUUUAGACCCUUUUUUCAGGAGAUAAGCAGUUUUCUCAGGUGCUCUUGGUCAACAGUUUAAUUCUUGAGGCUACUGGUAUCUUUUUUCACAACAGACCUGGCUUCAUCUGCUUUAAAAACAGGGUGCUCAGUGUUGUGCCCCCCCCCCCCAAAGGCUUCCUGCGGCCACGAAGAAGCAGCACAGAAGUUGCCCAAAGCCAAGCACUUCUUCCAUUUUUUUAUUCUUCUGCUGAACACAGGAGAGGAAUGAUUGAAUAUCAGGAUGUGAAAUGAUUCACUUUCUGAAGUUUGCCAUGUGCCACUGUUUUAAAUUUAUGCAAGCAGAGUACUUACCAAAUUCAAGCUAAGCCUCUUAUCCCGACUUCUUAAAGAACUGCCUUCCAUGUCUGCUGCAAGGAAAAAAAAGUGAUUAAAAAUGUGGUAAGGCAGUGCAACCUUACGGAGAUAAUUCUGGAGUAAAGCAUAUGGCUCUGAAAUAAUUAGUGCUUUAAAAAGUUUCCGUAACUCCUAGUAUUUAUCCUGAAUGAGGAAAUCCAAUGACACCUAAGACCAGAACCAACUCAGUAGCAUUUCAAAAGCGAUUACCUCUAUUUUAAGUAUGAUGAAACCAAGGAACAUGUUCGUGUAUAAUCCAGCUGUAACUUAUGCUUCCUAGCAAGCAACCAAACAAAAAUUUAAACCCAGCUCCUGCUCUAGUCCUGCUUUGUUUUCCCAUCUGUCAAAUUGGGGAAAUGAUAUGAAAAGGGACUGUAGGGUAUAUUAAUUCUUUAUUGUUUGGAAAGUUAUUUAGGAACCUCGUAUGUAAGGUGCCAGGGAAGCACAUGUUAUUGUACACAGGGUGCAUGGGGGAACUUAACGGUGGGAGAAGAAUUCUUCUCUUUGUCACCCAGAAAUGCUGAUGUGGUGCAAGUAUUCAAGCUGAUGGGGAACAAACAGCCAGAGAAAAAGUCACCAGUCACAGUAUCCCCUUGUACAGGCUGGCCUUUGUCUUGGUGUAGGUUGAUUUUAUUUUUGAAGCAAAGAGCAAAACCACCUGAAAUCCAGCAUUCAGUGCAUAGAAGAUCAGCAGUGGGAGAUGCUUACAACUACCAUCCUUUUCUGGAAAAUUAUUUUCUAUGCAGAAAACGGCUUUUCUGUGGGAAUGCCUUAAAACUCUGCAACCAUGUUAAUCCAGUCCCUGCUGUUAUGGUGGAGAUGUCAAUACUGCACUCCAACUGAGGGUCUUUGUGAUGGUAUUGGCAUAAAUGGCAAAAGUUCUGAACAAGAACAAAGCAAUACUAUUAGUGUGGAUAUAUAUUCAGAUAGACAUGGUCACCGUCCUGGGACAGCUACAUUUAUUUAUUAUUUUGCAAAAAGACAUCCAGGCACAACGCUCCAGCAGAUGCCAGGAUACAGGUGCCUUGCACAUGUAUAGCUUGUUCCCCUUCAUGGCACUGCAACCAGCAUACACUGCCUUUGCGCUGGGUUAAUGACAUCUGUUCAGCUUUUACAGGUUGCCAAGGGCAAAAAAUGAAGUAACUUGAGUGGGCUCACUCUGGGAGCUGGUGAGGAACAGCUGCUUUCUCCCUGUUUCUUUUUCCGAUCUUUCUUGUUAAACACAUUUUAGAGUUUAACCUUUCAAAUAGUUUCAGCUGCACUUAGGGUAAGAAAAAAUAGCAGCACUUAUUAAUUCAUUGCUGCCCCCUGUCAGGCAGAGAUAACCUUGCAGCACGGUAGCAGAACAUGACAUUUGGCCACUUAAUCCUCUUAAAAACAUUUUGGCAUAAAUUGGGUUGGAGGAACAUUAACUGUCUCAAGCGCGCUGGCAGCAUUAGAGCACCACACGUGCAGAAGCAAGAGUGGCACCUUUCAGGGAGCAACCAAAUGUAACUGAUAAUUAAGAAUACCAAUUCCACUGACGGGUGUUUCUCCAGAAACCUUCCAAGAAUUGUUUGUACACUGAUAAACAGGCUGGACAGAGAUCUGCUUGCUUCAGCUUCUGAGCUUUAAGAGCAAGAUCCAACAGCCCCAAACACCGGUUGGUCAUUCAAACUACAGGAGUCUGAAGGACUUGUCCUUAGCAGCUUGUCCUUAAAAACCUACAUUUUCUUCCUCAUUGAAAAUGACACAUCACUGCAAAAUACUUGAUGAUUUCCAGCCAGGUAUUCCAGCUGCCUCCCUCUGUUCUGUGGCUCCAUAAAAUAAAACUUUCUCAUACUGCGUA